UACGUAGGGGUGCAAGCGUUGUCCGGAAUUAUUGGGCGUAAAGAGCUCGUAGGCGGUCUUGUUGCGUCGGCUGUGAAACCCGGGGCUCAACCCCGGGCCUGCAGCCGAUACGGGCAGACUAGAGUUCGGCAGGGGAGACUGGAAUUCCUGGUGUAGCGGUGAAAUGCGCAGAUAUCAGGAGGAACACCGGUGGCGAAGGCGGGUCUCUGGGCCGAUACUGACGUGAGGACGAAAGCGUGGGGAGCAAACAGG
rnacentral:rRNA from 1 species